ACGGAAGGCAGCAGUGGGGAAUAUUGCACAAUGGGGGAAACCCUGAUGCAGCGACGCCGCGUGAGCGAUGAAGUAUUUCGGUAUGUAAAGCUCUAUCAGCAGGGAAGAUAAUGACGGUACCUGACUAAGAAGCCCCGGCUAACUACGUGCCAGCAGCCGCGGUAAUACGUAGGGGGCAAGCGUUAUCCGGAUUUACUGGGUGUAAAGGGAGCGCAGGCGGUUUUUUAAGUCUGAUGUGAAAGCCCGUGGCUCAACUGCGGGACUGCAUUGGAAACUGGAGAACUAGAGUGUCGGAGGGGCAAGUGGAAUUCCUAGUGUAGCGGUGAAAUGCGUAGAUAUUAGGAGGAACACCAGUGGCGAAGGCGGCUUGCUGGGCGAUAACUGACGCUGAGGCUCGAAAGCGUGGGGAGCAAACAGGAUUAGAUACCCUGGUA
rnacentral:rRNA from 1 species